AUUGCAGGCUGCAACCCGCCUGCAUGAAGUCGGAAUUGCUAGUAAUCGCGGAUCAGCAUGCCGCGGUGAAUACGUUCCCGGGCCCUUGUACACACCGCCCGCCACACCAUGGGAGCCGGUAAUACCCGAAGUCAGUAGUCCAACCACGUGAGGACGCUGCCGAAGGUAGGAUUGGCGACUGGGGUGAAGUCGUAACAAGGUAAC
rnacentral:rRNA from 1 species